GAACGAGAUCUUAACCUGCUAAAUAGGGUAGAAAACGUCUGCUUUUAAACUGCUUCUUAGAAGGACUUUGCGUGUCUAACGCAAGGAAGUUUGAGGCAAUAACAGGUCUGUGAUGCCCUUAGAUGUUCUGGGCUGCACGCGCGCUACAAUGAUGCAUCCAACAAGUUUAUAACCUUGGCUGGUAAGUUUAGGUAAUCUUUUGAAUGUGCGUCGUGAUGGGGAUAGAUCAUUGC
rnacentral:rRNA from 1 species